rnacentral:lncRNA from 1 species
CUUUGUUCAUUUUCUGUUGUUAGGACACUAUAGACCAGAUAAUUUAUAAAGAAAAGAAGUUAUUUAACUCACAGUUCUGGAGGCUGGAAAGUCCAAGAUCAAGGCAUCAGCAUCUGGUGAGGACCUUCUAGAUGAGAAAACAACAUUGCGACAUGUCCUCUGAGCCCUAUUGAAAUAGACAGCUCUUAGUCAUGGUGUUUGAUCCCUGGUUUGAUGAAUGGUGUGCUUCAGAUGGAAGCAGCAACAGGGUUUCAGCUAUAAGUCUCAUUGUAUGGUUGGACAUAUCUCCUACCUGUGUCAAUUCCGGCUUUGUGGCUUUCGAACUUGGGUCCUGGAACUUCUAGAAAUUCUGUAAGCUUGUUAGCAUACUGUAUUCAUUUCUAUUGCUGUGUAAAACAUUGCCACAAACUUAGCAGCUUAAAACAACACACAGUUAUGAUCUCACACAUUCCAUGGAUCAAGAGUUCAGCACACUUUAGCUACUUCCUCUGAUCAGGGUCUCAUUGAAAUUAACAUGUCACCUACCUGUAUCCUCAUCAGGGACUUGGCUAGGGAAAGACCCACUUCCAAGCUCUCUCAGGGUGUUGGCAGAAUUAGUUUCCUUGUGGCCUUGUGACUAAGAUCCCCAUUUUCUUAACUAUCAACCAGGGACCCCUACCAGUUCCUAGAGACCACCUUUAGGUGUUUGCCACAUGGCCCUCUCUACAAUAUGACAGGUUGCUCCUUUACGGACCACAGAAGAGCAUCUGCUAUUUCUUCUUGUAUCUUUUAAGGUAUAGUGUGAUUAGGUCAGACCCACCUGGAAUAAUCUCACUUUCGAUUAAUCAAAGUAAAUUGAUUAGGGAUCUUAAUUACUACAAAAUUCCUAUUUCCAUAUCAUGUAACAUAACCAAAGGAUAUUCGGUCAUAUUCAAAGUUCUGCCCACACUCCAAGAGAGGGAUUAGACAACACAUAUAUACUAUGGGGGAAGAAUCUUGGGAGCCAUUUUAGAAUUCUGACUUCCACAUAUACUAUUUUAACUCCGUUUCUGCUUAAAUUUGGCAAAAUGGCUUCUGUUGUCUGCAAUUGAACCCUGAGCAAAAACAGAUGAUACAAGGAGCAAUAGACCUUUGAGGAAAUGAGACUCCAGGAC